AUGGCGAAGAUUGAUGGCUGGAAAGAGAGACAACUCUCAACAGGUGGGAAAGAAGUGCUCCUUAAAGAAGUUGCUCGAUCUAUACCAUCAUAUGCAAUGUUAGUCUUUAAAAUUCCAAAAAAAACUUGCAAGGGUAUACCUGACAUGGUGUUGCGUUAUUGGUGGGGAGAUGGUGAUGUUUAUAGGAGAACUCAUUGGUUUGCAUGGUGAAAAAUGUGUGUACCAAAACAACAAGGAGGUGUGUGUUUUAGAGAUAUCCAUUGUUUCAAUCUUGCUCUUUUGGCUAAACAGGCUCGGAGGCUUACUGAGAACCCAGACUCCAUGUGUGCACGUACUUUGACAUCGAAGUAUUUUUUCAAAUGGUGA
rnacentral:rRNA from 1 species